AUAUAUGUUUUGGCAUAAGGAUUAUUUGAGGCUGGUUAUUUUUAAGAAACAGCAGACAUUUGAGAAGCUCUGGAAACCAAGUAGAAGUUACCCUUUGUAAAAAAUAUUUACAUUUGUAAAGGAAAUCACUUUUGUAAGGCUGACUCUCUCACUGUACCAGGAAGACGGGGCUUACCUUAUCUCUAGAAAGUCUUAUCAAUGGAGGAGGUGAUGACUUAAAUAAUAACUUCAUCCUUGUUUACUGUGCUUUUCCUGGGAACCUCACGUAAUUGACUCCCUCCACCUGCAACAACUUCUUUGGUCUGUAGCUGAAGAUGGUAUUUAAGGUGGUGGCAUCGGCUAUUUUGAAGCGCUUUAAGUUCUUAGUCUCUGGUGGAUUGUGGAUCGCCUAUCAGUAGCAGAACUUCCUGGGGUGGUUGGAAAUAUGCAGAUUUCUGUUCUGUCAGCCCCAAGCUGUGAAUUAAAUUGUGGGAUCUGGCUGAGAAAUCUUCAUUUCUAAAGCAUCCAUUUUGUGUGGUUACGUAGCCUCCAGGGGCCUUGAACUGCGUAGCCCCUCCCUAGAGCGCAUGCCUUAAAGAACAGCCUGCAGAGUCACAGGUGAGUCUAAUUUCCUGAUAAGCCCCUGGUAAUAAAUAGUCUCCCCUGAUUCCCAGCUCCUUCUCCUGGCUUGUGCCUUAGGUAAGACCCCCACGCAACUUACCAAAGCUCUGCUCUUUCUGGUUUGAAGCGACCAAUCCAGCCUUAGCCUGGGAACCCCAAAACAUUCUACCCUUGGACUCUAAUAAAAGCGUAUGUCCCAGAUCCUGCUGCUCAUACUCUGCCUGCACCCUGCCUUGACCUCCCUGUGUGGCUCCUCGAGAUACCUCCUCCAGGACCUAAGAGCAGCAGUUAUAGCAUCUCAAAGAGCGAGUGUUAUGGACAAGAGCCCCGGCGAAGGCCACUGUGCCGUGUGACACCUCCGAUGCCUCAUUUAGAGGGAUUUCAAAAGGAUUAAAUAAUUGUGAUUUUGGUCCUCUUGGUUUCUCUGAUGCUGCUGGGGCUCCCAUUUGCCUGAAGGGGCAUUCCUGUGAGUCAGCAUCCUCUCUAAUCAACAUGUUGCAGAAAAGUGUUUACACACAACAUCCAGAGAAGAGGUGGGAUGCCUACCACAGCAUGGCAUGCCUAGCGGUGCCAUGUCCGCAGCCGGGAUCUGAACUGGCGAACCCUGGGUCUCUGAGAAGUGGAACAUGCGAACUUAACCACUGCACCACCGGGACUAUAAUUGUCUGGAGCAGAAGAGAAAAGAUUGAUGUCUGGAUGAGAACAAGAGAACUGAGAAGAUUAAAUUAUUUCAGUAUGAAUCAAAUCACUCAUCUCUUUUCUGCUUAUUGGCUAGAUCACAAAGACGGUUUUACCGACUCUGACUUUUUAUGUCACUGGCCAUGUGGAAUCCUUACAUGCUGCUAGGUCCCCUGUUCUCAUAUUUCAUAGAAGUUCAAAGUAAGAUGAUAUAUCGCAAUUUGCAUUUAUCCUAGAGUUUGUAUAGGUGUUGCAUUUUAGUCUACUAUUCGGGAACAUAUGUAACACAUGGUACAAGGUUAAAAUGAGGAAAAUAAAAUGAAAAAAUGUAGUUUUUUGUUGUUGCUUUUGUUUUUUGUGUGUGUGUGCUUGUGCUUCAAUAAAGCUGGACUACUUCAGUGG
rnacentral:lncRNA from 1 species